GUACAGUACUAUGAACUUUAUUUAGAAGCAAAACCACAGCAGAAAAUUUCACUCAAAAGCGCGUUGUUCCAAGUAUCCCACCAAUGAGUAGAAAAGGAUGAGUGAUGUCAUGUAAUGGCUCCCUCCUCCACCAACGCCUCGUGGGGCAUAGCGGUGUGUUCGACCCUAGGGUCUCAAAGGCUGUGGCCGGGGUGGGGGUGGGGGGAAAGAGGGGGAACAGAGCCUGAGCUCAAGUAGGCUUAGCAGGCUGGAAAGGCUCAGAGGCUGGGCCCAGGUAUAUAGACUGGGCAUCUUUUCUCUGAGGGGCUUAGCUCCAUAAGGUAAGCCACUAGGGAAUGCAUUCUUUGUUGGCCACAGCGACUCACGGAAACCAUAUCCUAAGGCAUAAAAAGGCUUCAAUCUGCACUGGUAGACGGGAAGAGGGUUACUCCUCGCAGAACACAGAAUGGAGCUCUUCCCCUCACUAGGUAACAGAAAUAAUUUACACGCGGAUUGCACUUUACAAAGUACCGUCACAUGUCAUUUGAUAUGAACCUCACAACAAACCCUGUGAAGGAGAUAGGGCGAAUGGGAUCUUCCCCAUUUUAUAGAUGUAGAAAUCGAGGUUCACAGAAGGGAAGCAAUUUGCUCACGAUCACACAACUAGGUGCCAGGUGAACACAAAGUGGAGAGGGGGCAAGGGAGCACAAAAUGGAGGUCAGGGGCUAGAGCAUAAAAUCGGGGUGGCAUGUAUGCCCAGAAAGCACAAAAUGGGGGCUGGUUGUCAGAGAACACAAAAUUGAAGUAGGGUGAUCAGAGCACAAAAUAGCAGUAGGGGUAGAUGUCAGAGAGCACAAAUUGGCAGUGGGGGUGGGUGUCCGAGAACACGAAAUGCGGGUGAUAAAGGAAGGCAGGGAUCACAAAAUGAGGCUGGGGGAGAUCAGAGAACGCAGAACUGGAGUAGUGGGAGAGGUCGGAGAGCACAGAAUACGGGUAGUGAGGGUGGUCAGCGAGCACAAAAUGGGGGUAAUUCGAAAGGUCAGGGAGCACAGAAUGGGCAUCGUGGGAGUGGUCAGGUAGUACAAAAUGAGAAUAAUCAGAGACAUCCGAGAACAAAGAAUGGGGGUGGUGGGAGAGGUCGGAAAGCACGGAAUGGGCAUGGUAGUCGGAGAACACAGACUGCGGAUAGUAGUCCGAGAACACCGAAUCGGGGUGACGUGGGAGCUCCGACAGCCCGGAUGGGGGCUGAUACUCUGAGAACACCGAAUCAGGGUGUCGUGGGAGCUCAGAAAGCCCAGAUGGGGGCUGGUAGUCUGAGAACACCGAGUCGGGGUGACGCGGGAGCUCGGAAAGCCCAGUAGGGGGGUGAUAGUCCGAGAACACCGAAUCGGGGUGACGCGGGAGCUCCGAGAGCCCAGAUGGGGGCUGGUAGUCCGAGAACACCGAAUCGGGGUGUCGUGGGAGCUCAGAAAGCCCGGAUGGGGGCUGGUAGUCUGAGAACACCGAAUCGGGGUGCCGCGGGAGCUCCGAGAGCCCGGAGGGGGGCUGAUAGUCCGAGAACACCGAAUCGGGGUGCCGCGGGAGCUCCGAGAGCCCGGAUGGGGGCUGAUAGUCCGAGAAUACCGAAUCGGGGUGUCGCGGGAGCUCCGAGAGCCCGGUAGGGGGGUGGUAGUCCGAGAACACCGAAUCGGGGUGUCGUGGGAGCUCCGAGAGCCCGGUAGGGGGGUGGUAAUCCGAGAACACCGAAUCGGGGUGACGGGGCAGCUCUGAGAGCCCGGUCGGGGGGUGGUAGUCUGCGAAUACUGAAUGGGAGUGGAGGGAAAGGUCAGAGAUCACAGAAUGGGGGUGGUAGUCCGAGAACACCGAAUGGGGGUGGCGGGGGAGCUCCGAGAGCACAGAAUGGGGCUGAUAAUCCGAGAACACGGAAUGGGGGUGGCGGGGGAGGUCCGAGAGCACAGAGUGCGAGUGGUGGGGCAUGUCAGAGAGUACAGAAUACGGAUGGUA
ensembl:lncRNA